UACGUAGGGUGCGAGCGUUAAUCGGAAUUACUGGGCGUAAAGCGUGCGCAGGCGGUUUCUGAAGUCCGUUGUGAAAGCCCCGGGCUUAACCUGGGAAUGGCAGUGGAAACUAGGAGACUUGAAUCUGGCAGAGGGGGGUGGAAUGCCACGGUGUAGCAGUGAAAUGCGUAGAGAUGUGGCGGAACACCGAUGGCGAAGGCAGCCCCCUGGGUCAAGAUUGACGCUCAGGCACGAAAGCGUGGGGAGCAAACAGG
rnacentral:rRNA from 1 species